UGUACUCCUCUCUGGGUUGAAGGUAGGGUGAGACUGUCAUUACUGUACUCCUCUCUGGGUUGAAGGUAGGGUGAGACUGUCAUUACUGUACUCUGGGUUGAAGGUGGGGUGAGACUGUCAUUACUGUACUCCUCUCUGGGUUGAAGGUGGGGUGAGACUGUCAUUACUGUACUCCUCUCUGGGUUGAAGGUGGGGUGAGACUGUCAUUACUGUACUCCUCUCUGGGUUGAAGGUGGGGUGAGACUGUCAUUACUGUACUCUGGGUUGAAGGUGGGGUGAGACUGUCAUUACUGUACUCCUCUGGGUUGAAGGUAGGGUGAGACUGUCAUUGCUGUACUCCUCUCUGGGUUGAAGGUAGGGUGAGACUGUCAUUACUGUACUCCUGUCUGGGUUGAAGGUAGGGUGAGACUGUCAUUACUGUACUCUGGGUUGAAGGUGGGGUGAGACUGUCAUUACUGUACUCUGGGUUGAAGGUGGGGUGAGACUGUCAUUACUGUACUCUGGGUUGAAGGUGGGGUGAGACUGUCAUUACUGUACUCCUCUCUGGGUUGAAGGUGGGGUGAGACUGUCAUUACUGUACUCCUCUCUGGGUUGAAGGUGGGGUGAGACUGUCAUUACUGUACUCCUCUCUGGGUUGAAGGUGGGGUGAGACUGUCAUUACUGUACUCUGGGUUGAAGGUGGGGUGAGACUGUCAUUACUGUACUCCUCUGGGUUGAAGGUGGGGUGAGACUGUCAUUACUGUACUCCUCUGGGUUGAAGGUGGGGUGAGACUGUCAUUACUGUACUCUGGGUUGAAGGUGGGGUGAGACUGUCAUUACUGUACUCUGGGUUGAAGGUGGGGUGAGACUGUCAUUACUGUACUCUCUGGGUUGAAGGUAGGGUGAGACUGUCAUUACUGUACUCCUCUCUGGGUUGAAGGUGGGGUGAGACUGUCAUUACUGUACUCCUCUCUGGGUUGAAGGUAGGGUGAGACUGUCAUUACUGUACUCCUCUCUGGGUUGAAGGUAGGGUGAGACUGUCAUUACUGUACUCCUCUCUGGGUUGAAGGUAGGGUGAGACUGUCAUUACUGUACUCUGGGUUGAAGGUAGGGUGAGACUGUCAUUACUGUACUCUGGGUUGAAGGUAGGGUGAGACUGUCAUUACUGUACUCUGGGUUGAAGGUAGGGUGAGACUGUCAUUACUGUACUCCUCUCUGGGUUGAAGGUAGGGUGAGACUGUCAUUACUGUACUCCUCUCUGGGUUGAAGGUAGGGUGAGACUGUCAUUACUGUACUCCUCUCUGGGUUGAAGGUGGGGUGAGACUGUCAUUACUGUACUCUGGGUUGAAGGUGGGGUGAGACUGUCAUUGCUGUACUCCUCUCUGGGUUGAAGGUAGGGUGAGACUGUCAUUACUGUACUCUGGGUUGAAGGUGGGGUGAGACUGUCAUUACUGUACUCCUCUCUGGGUUGAAGGUGGGGUGAGACUGUCAUUACUGUACUCUGGGUUGAAGGUGGGGUGAGACUGUCAUUACUGUACUCCUCUCUGGGUUGAAGGUAGGGUGAGACUGUCAUUACUGUACUCUGGGUUGAAGGUAGGGUGAGACUGUCAUUACUGUACUCCUCUCUGGGUUGAAGGUAGGGUGAGACUGUCAUUACUGUACUCUGGGUUGAAGGUAGGGUGAGACUGUCAUUACUGUACUCUGGGUUGAAGGUAGGGUGAGACUGUCAUUGCUGUACUCCUCUCUGGGUUGAAGGUGGGGUGAGACUGUCAUUACUGUACUCUGGGUUGAAGGUGGGGUGAGACUGUCAUUACUGUACUCUGGGUUGAAGGUGGGGUGAGACUGUCAUUACUGUACUCCUCUCUGGGUUGAAGGUAGGGUGAGACUGUCAUUACUGUACUCUGGGUUGAAGGUAGGGUGAGACUGUCAUUACUGUACUCCUCUCUGGGUUGAAGGUGGGGUGAGACUGUCAUUACUGUACUCCUCUGGGUUGAAGGUGGGGUGAGACUGUCAUUACUGUACUCCUCUCUGGGUUGAAGGUGGGGUGAGACUGUCAUUACUGUACUCUGGGUUGAAGGUGGGGUGAGACUGUCAUUACUGUACUCCUCUCUGGGUUGAAGGUGGGGUGAGACUGUCAUUACUGUACUCCUCUCUGGGUUGAAGGUGGGGUGAGACUGUCAUUACUGUACUCCUCUCUGGGUUGAAGGUGGGGUGAGACUGUCAUUACUGUACUCUGGGUUGAAGGUGGGGUGAGACUGUCAUUACUGUACUCCUCUGGGUUGAAGGUAGGGUGAGACUGUCAUUGCUGUACUCCUCUCUGGGUUGAAGGUAGGGUGAGACUGUCAUUACUGUACUCCUGUCUGGGUUGAAGGUAGGGUGAGACUGUCAUUACUGUACUCUGGGUUGAAGGUAGGGUGAGACUGUCAUUACUGUACUCUGGGUUGAAGGUAGGGUGAGACUGUCAUUGCUAUACUCCUCUCUGGGUUGAAGGUAGGGUGAGACUGUCAUUACUGUACUCCUCUCUGGGUUGAAGGUAGGGUGAGACUGUCAUUACUGUACUCCU